GACGAACGCUGGCGGCGUGCUUAACACAUGCAAGUCGAACGGAAAGGCCCUGCUUUUGUGGGGUGCUCGAGUGGCGAACGGGUGAGUAACACGUGAGUAACCUGCCCUUGACUUUGGGAUAACUUCAGGAAACUGGGGCUAAUACCGGAUAGGAGCUCCUGCUGCAUGGUGGGGGUUGGAAAGUUUCGGCGGUUGGGGAUGGACUCGCGCCUUAUCAGCUUGUUGGUGGGGUAGUGGCUUACCAAGGCUUUGACGGGUAGCCGGCCUGAGAGGGUGACCGGCAAACUUGGGAUUAAGUUGCGGACCAGACUUCUACGGGAGGCAGCAGUGGGGAAUAUUGCACAAUGGGCGGAAGCCUGAUGCAGCAACGCCGCGUGCGGUAUGACGGCCUUCGGGUUGUAAACCGCUUUCGCCUGUGACGAAGCGUGAGUGACGGUAAUGGGUAAAGAAGCACGGGCUAACUACGUG
rnacentral:rRNA from 1 species